AAGCAUCUGCCGCCGGGUAGACCAAGAACAAAGCAUGUGCGCCCCUAUCGUUAGGCCAUAGAAGAUAGGGGAAAGCGCAUGCUUUUUUA
rnacentral:ncRNA from 1 species